GCUCAGAUUGUGCAAUCUAGCACUUUCAGUGUUCGAGUUGUAAUUUGAAGAAGGUAUCUUUGGAGUUGGCCCCCGUCUAUGUUCCUUGGAACAGGACGUCACAGAGGGUGAGAAUCCCGUGCGAUGGGGAGACCAAUUCUAUGUAAAGUUCCUUCGAAGAGUCGAGUUGUUUGGGAAUGCAGCUCUAAGUGGGUGGUAAAUUCCAUCUAAAGCUAAAUAUUGGCGAGAGACCGAUAGCGAACAAGUACAGUGAUGGAAAGAUGAAAAGAACUUUGAAAAGAGAGUGAAAAAGUACGUGAAAUUGUUGAAAGGGAAGGGCUUUUGAUCAGACUUGGUGUUUAGUACUCUCUACUCCUUGUGGGUGGGGCUCUUGCUUUAUACUGGGCCAGCAUCGGUUUGGAUGGUAGGAUAAUAGCAUUGGAAUGUGGCUUCAUUCGUGAAGUGUUAUAGCCCUUGUUGAUACUACCUAUCUAGACCGAGGACUGCGUCUUUUGACUAGGAUGCUGGCGUAAUGAUUAAAAGCC
rnacentral:rRNA from 1 species